rnacentral:miRNA from 1 species
GUCUAGUACAACAGGUUGGGCCU